rnacentral:rRNA from 1 species
CCUACGGGGGACAGCAGUGAGGAAUAUUGGUCAAUGGACGAGAGUCUGAACCAGCCAAGUAGCGUGAAGGAUGACUGCCCUAUGGGUUGUAAACUUCUUUUAUAUGGGAAUAAAACGUUCCACGUGUGGGAUUUUGUAUGUACCAUAUGAAUAAGGAUCGGCUAACUCCGUGCCAGCAGCCGCGGUAAUACGGAGGAUCCGAGCGUUAUCCGGAUUUAUUGGGUUUAAAGGGAGCGUAGGUGGAUUGUUAAGUCAGUUGUGAAAGUUUGCGGCUCAACCGUAAAAUUGCAGUUGAAACUGGCAGUCUUGAGUACAGUAGAGGUGUGCGGAAUUCGUGGUGUAGCGGUGAAAUGCUUAGAUAUCACGAAGAACUCCGAUUGCGAAGGCAGUUCACUGGACUGCAACUGACACUGAGGCUCGAAAGUGUGGGUAUCAAACAGGAUUAGAUACCCCAGUAGUC